GAUGAACGCUGGCGGCGUGCCUAAUACAUGCAAGUCGAGCGAACAGACGAGGAGCUUGCUCCUCUGACGUUAGCGGCGGACGGGUGAGUAACACGUGGAUAACCUACCUAUAAGACUGGGAUAACUUCGGGAAACCGGAGCUAAUACCGGAUAAUAUAUUGAACCGCAUGGUUCAAUAGUGAAAGACGGUUUUGCUGUCACUUAUAGAUGGAUCCGCGCCGCAUUAGCUAGUUGGUAAGGUAACGGCUUACCAAGGCAACGAUGCGUAGCCGACCUGAGAGGGGGAUCGGCCACACUGGAACUGAGACACGGUCAAGACUCCUACGGGAGGCAGCAGUAGGGAAUCUUCCGCAAUGGGCGAAAGCCUGACGGAGCAACGCCGCGUGAGUGAUGAAGGUCUUCGGAUCGUAAAACUCUGUUAUUAGGGAAGAACAAAUGUGUAAGUAACUAUGCACGUCUUGACGGUACCUAAUCAGAAAGCCACGGCUAACUACGUG
rnacentral:rRNA from 1 species